rnacentral:rRNA from 1 species
AUGUCAGAUAACUCUGUUUCCAUGGUGGUCAGGUCAGACUGGGUUCCUUCAUUCAGGCUACAGGUGGCCGACCUGAAGUCAUGCCGGAUUGGACCCGCAUUCCCAACAUGGCUCAGGUGGCAAUCUGACAUUCAACUCAUUGACAUCUCUAAUGCGUCCAUAACUGAUAAUGUACCCGAUUGGUUUUGGACCGUAGCUUCAAAUGCUACUCUCUUGGAUAUGUCAAAUAAUCAAAUAAACGGCACACUCCCAGCAUCCUUUGAAACGAUGGAAGCAGAGAGAAUGGACCUAAGUUUUAAUAGAUUUACUGGUACAGUCCCAAAGUUUCCUAGGGGCGUAACCUUUUUUGACUUAUCCAGAAACAAAUUAUCAGGGACACUGCCCUCAGAUCUGGAAGCCCCGGAGUUAUCUGUGCUUGCUCUUUACAACAAUUCAAUUUCUGGCAACAUACCAUCUUCGUUGUGCAAUUAUUCAUUGGAAAUAUUGGACUUAUCAGGAAAUAUGCUGACAGGAGAGGUACCCAAUUGCCAGCAGGGAGAUCUUGGGGGCUUCACACCACUGAGGUCAUUAAAUUUAAAUAGCAAUAAUCUUUCAGGAAACUUCCCGUCAGUUCUUCAAAGGUCAAAAGAUAUGAUUUUUCUUGAUCUUGCAUACAAUCAGUUCUCUGGAAAUUUGCCAGCAUGGUUAGUAGAAAACAUGACAUCCCUUGCAUUGCUACGACUGCGGUCGAAUAUGUUUUCGGGGCAUAUUCCUGUUGAACUUGCAAAGAUUGAAGGGCUUCAAUAUUUGGACCUCGCAUGCAACAACUUUUCUGGAGGUAUACCUGAAUCCUUAGCAAAGCUGAAGGCAAUCGCUCGGAUUAAUGGAUAUAGUCAUUCACUGGAUGAACUAUCAGAUUAUUCUUUAAGCUUUCUUGAGGCAGCCAAUACGGCUAGGGUCAAACUUUCCUACACAACAACUUUGUCCGUGCUUACUAAGGGACAACAACUUGAGUUUUCCGAAGAGUUGCCAUACAUGGUAAAUAUUGAUCUGUCCUGCAACAGUUUGACGGGAGGAAUCCCUGAUAGAUUUAGUGCUCUGAUUGCUUUGAAAAGCUUGAACUUUUCUUGGAAUCGUCUGAGUGGGAGGAUUCCGAAGAAUAUUGGUAACCUCACUGCACUCGAGUCCCUGGACCUAUCUCAUAACGAGUUGUCUGGAGAAAUCCCUUCAAGCAUAUCAGCUAUUACUUCUUUGAGCCGCUUCAACUUGUCAUUUAACAAUCUCUCCGGACAGAUACCAGUAGGGAAUCAGUUGCAGGUGCUCGAUGACCCAACAUCCAGUUAUAUUGGUAACAUUGGUUUAUGUGGGCCUCCACUCUUGAAGACUUGUUCUCCAAAUUCAACAACAACUACCCCAGCCAAAGAUGAUGGGAAUCAUCACGAUGGAGUGGAGACGUCCAUCUACCUAAGCAUGGUUGUUGGCUUUGUCUUCGGCCUCUGGGUGGUCUUCUGUGUCAUGUUGUUCAACAAGAGAUGGAGAUACGCCUAUUUCCGUUUCACCGACAACAUGUACCACAUGAUGUGCGUACAUACAAUUGUUGCCUGGAACCUCCUUGCGAGGAAGGGAUGA